rnacentral:misc_RNA from 1 species
UCCUAUUCUAGCAACUAUGCCACACCAUCGCCAUAACGCACCUUCAUGUUAGCUAAACUUCAACAGUUUCUUUCCUUGCCAAUUUUGACGUCUUCCAUUUGAUUUUGAAGUCUGUUUGAAACAACUCCUAAAAGCUGAAUUUUGGCUCUUCUUUAGGUAAGGUAUGUUUCCUUAAUUCGAAUAUAUGGAAACUUAUAUUGAGGAGCUAGAAGAGGAGAUCAUUUACUAGAAAAAUGUUCUUGAAGAAAUUAAUUAUGACACUAGAUUUCAUAGGGUUCAAUUAUUUAUAGUCGUGAUCGUGAAAUGUGUUAUUUAUUAUAUGGUAAAUAUUGAGAAGUUAAACAAAUUUUGCUACAUAAAAAAAGAGACUAUGUAGAUUUACAAGAAUUCUUACAAGUUAAGGAAAGAG